UCUGGUCUAAAGUAGUGCACUAUAUAGGGAAUAGGGCUCUGGUCUAAAGUAGUGCACUAUAUAGGGAAUAGGGCUCUGGUCUAAAGUAGUGUACUAUAUAGGGAAUAGGGCUCUGGUCUAAAGUAGUGCACUAUAUAGGGAAUAGGGCUCUGGUCUAAAGUAGUGUACUAUAUAGGGAAUAGGGCUCUGGUCUAAAGUAGUGCACUAUAUAGGGAAUAGGGCUCUGGUCUAAAGUAGUGUACUAUAUAGGGAAUAGGGCUCUGGUCUAAAGUAGUGUACUAUAUAGGGAAUAGGGCUCUGGUCUAAAGUAGUGCACUAUAUAGGGAAUAGGGCUCUGGUCUAAAGUAGUGUACUAUAUAGGGAAUAGGGCUCUGGUCUAAAGUAGUGUACUAUAUAGGGAAUAGGGCUCUGGUCUAAAGUAGUGUACUAUAUAGGGAAUAGGGCUCUGGUCUAAAGUAGUGCACUAUAUAGGGAAUAGGGCUCUGGUCUAAAGUAGUGUACUAUAUAGGGAAUAGGGCUCUGGUCUAAAGUAGUGUACUAUAUAGGGAAUAGGGCUCUGGUCUAAAGUAGUGUACUAUAUAGGGAAUAGGGCUCUGGUCUAAAGUAGUGUACUAUAUAGGAAAUAGGGCUCUGGUCUAAAGUAGUGUACU